CUUUGUUUUAUUAGCUGACAGUUUAAGGUGUGCCUUUUAUCACUGGCUAAAUAUACAGAGAGGGGAAGUUGUUCAGGAUUAAACUAUGUGCCAGUGUGUACGUCUAACCAAGUGUUGCAACACCCUUAUUUAUAGCUUUCUGACAGUGCCCAAAGGUGACUGCAAUAUCAAAUAUGAUCACCCGUUUUUGCCCACAACACACUUCGUGACGUGUCCGAUGCAGCACAUGGGGGAAAGUUAACAAAGCAAGUUUCAUUUUCCCCUCAAUGCGUUCUCGUUUGUGUGUUUAUUUAUUUAUUUUUUUGUGUCACACAGAAGCUUUCAUUUUUGUUUUGCGAGCGCAGAUAUUGAUAUUUGUGGUUUGACCCAGCGCGCCACUGCCAAUGCCAUAAGGGCAACCCAAAUGGCCUGAGGGGUUGUUGCCAAGGGGACAAAGCAAACAAACUGUUGUGCUUCUUAUGUUGUCACACACGUGAAGGGAGCAGGAGCAGAGCUAACACCUUCCAGUGGCAGGAACAGGAAGCAUCAGAUCAAAUGAUCAAAUAAACUCCAGAUGCACGUGGGCUGCCAUGCAUCUUGCCGCAGGAGCCAAAGUGUUCAGGGCUACUUGAUAUGGGCCAGGAGCGAGGCAAGUGGCAUCACCACCCCCUUUUCUUCAGUCAUGUGCACUCAUGCAGUGGCCAGCACCUAAUUAAAACCUCAAAGCUCCCGUCACCAA